GCCCCCGGAAACCAGCCCUGGUCAGGCACGUUCCGAGCGAACCAGAGGCCGUGGGCGAGAGUCCCCCUCCCCUGCGCUGGCCGCGCCCCCACUGUCCGGAGACCCCCCCUGACCGGCGGCCGGAGCGUGAUGUGUGUCUGUCAGCAAACCGAUUCACUGCUCUGAAAGGAAAGCCUUCUGCCUGUGGUUGGGCAUAUUCCACUGCCUCUUCCAAAUAGGACCUCCACAGCUCCAGGAUCCAAGGCAGAUUGAUGAUCCCUAGGGAACAGGAGCAGGUGUGCUGUGGACUAAGAGAGAUGCACCCAGGGGGCGCAGGGUGAAUCCUGUUAGAGAGCUCCUGAAGCAGCUUCAAGGACAAGGACUGUCUCAGCUCCUGUCUUCCUGUGGCAGGUGUGAGCCCUGGGGCUCUCUGCUGCCUGCUCUGUUUGGGGGCCGGGAAGGCACUAGGAGACUCCUUCUGCCCUGGGAAUGGAAGGAAACAGACUAGGACUAUUUUCUCAAAGAAAAGCAAAGGGAGCAGGAUGACAUGGCACUGAAACCAUCUUUUCCUCUUGCCAUAAUGGGCUGCCCCCUCCCAGUUAAACAGAAGCAAUGGAUCCUCUGCCUUGAACACCUUCCACCACUUUUAGAUCCUUUCCAUUCACAAGCAUAAACGUUUAUCUCCCCCUCACACUAAAGCUUGGGUGCCUGGCCCUAGCUAAUACAAAAGCUACUUUCAGACCCAAACAGGCCUAAUCCUCCUUGAACUGGGCUAGCAAGGAAUGUAGUGGUCUCAGCUAUAUGCAUCAUUCCAAUCUCUUUCCAACUGGGCAACUGCUAUAGAGAAGAGGGGAGGCAACAGUGGUGCAAGUCUUCACUUACAGGUUCUGGUUUGGAUCAAGGAUACCUAGACACAGACUAACACGGCUGCUACUCUGAAGAAAGAUUCGAUUAGAGAGUCAACUCUAUUAGAGCCAGCCUCCUCUCUCUUUCUAAUUCGAGAACAGACUGGAAGAAGAUGGGUCUAAGGUCUAAUAGCAGAGGGGCGGGUUUCCUAUGUUGAGAUCAAAAAAUAAUAGCCCCGGACCAUGAAGAAUGGCCCUUUCGUAUAUAAGGGUUUUUCUGAUAAGGACUAAUCCUUCUAUUAUGGGAUUAAUAGAACAUUGUGAUACUAUUUCUAGAGCAGAGAAGCAAUAAUAGGAAAUUAACAGUCUGCUACUUCUAUUCCUUGUUGCCCAUUUAAAAUUGAGGUGAACAGCAAGUUAGAGUGGAACAAAGACAGUGUGGUGAGCACAUCAAUGAGAGAGCCCAAAGCCUGUUUUCAGGAGAGCUCAACUCCCAUUUAGGGACCAAAAUACAUGACCAGAUUUUCAAGAGAGCCGAGCACACUGUGUACUGAGCUCUCUUGGAAACCUGGCCGUAAGUGUCACAAUAAGAGCAGCUGAGUUCUGUGCACUUUUGAAAAUCUGGACCCAUCAGGUUAGUCAGCCGUAAGUGAUGCAAUCUAGUUAAUGUGGCAUCUUUUACUAUGAAAAAAAAUCUAGAAUUACUCAAAUAUAGGAAUCCCUUCACCUAUGAAAUGCUGCCCCCUCUGGGGUGGCGUGCGGCAGCUGACUGCAUAUCAACAAGAACACUAUAUACCGGUUUAGAACAGAGUUUGAAUGCAUACCCAAUUCAAACCACAGGGGAAGUUUAGAGGCUGAAUGUAGUUACUUAGAGUGGGAAUUUGGCUAGGACAUUGGCAUUAAAUGCAAUUUUGAGAAGAGGGAGACAUGCAAAAAAACAAAGUUCUAUUGGCAAUUCAGAAAGCUGGAGGCUACAUUACCCAGAGCGGUAGAACACAGAGGAAAUACAGUUGGUAUAUUUAGCUGGAAGGACUUAGCGAUGAUUGACACCAUAACGAGUGUUAUGACAAGACACGUAACUAAUACAUAUUGCCAUGAUUGUCAACUUUGUGCAUUACCUUCUGUCUGUUCUGCAUAAAAUAAAGACUAAAAAAAUGCUUAAA